CGGAGCUUCGGCUCAGUGGCGGACGGGUGAGUAACACGUAGGAACCUGCCCGGAAGUGGGGGAUAACUCCUCGAAAGAGGAGCUAAUACCGCAUACGGUCUACGGACCAAAGCAGCAAUGCGCUUCUGGAGGGGCCUGCGGUGGAUUAGCUAGUUGGUGGGGUAAUGGCCUACCAAGGCAACGAUCCAUAACUGGUCUGAGAGGACGGCCAGUCACACUGGGACUGAGACACGGCCCAGACUCC
rnacentral:rRNA from 1 species